UUCCAGCUGGAACUCCUCCAUAUCCAGAUCAUCUGGAACAGAAGGUCAUGACUCUCCAUCAACUACUCGAACAUAAAGGUCUUCCUCCUGGUUUUGCAGCUUCUCGGCUUCCCAGUGGCUGCCGGCCUUGUAGUUGCCGUUGCAGACGCCGUAGACGCAGCACUGCAUGUCAACAGCAGAGACCUGGAUCAGGAUGAGUGGUUGGAAGAUGAGUGGAUGGAUGAAGAGCCUGUCACCCGCAGAACUACAUCAGCUUUUUCUUUUGCAAAACCGCUGCAGUGCCAUAAGCACAUGUUUCCAGCAGCAGUGGAAUGCUUGUAGACAUCUUCUUAACAAGGUAAAAUGACAAAAUAAUCCUACUCAAACACAAGCUUUAGACACUGCCUUUUUUUACUUAAGUGCUGAGAUCUGAAACACCAUUAAAUGUCUCCUGCAUCCUUUCCAUUAUUAGCCGAUUCUCUGUUAUGAACAAUCGUCGCUCUGUCUUCCCUUGAAGGUUGGGCCCCUCCACGACUGGAGAGCGUCCAUUGCCUUGGGCAUCGUUUGAAUCACUGUAAAGCUGAGGUAUUUAUGAAGAGCCUCUUUUUUAAGCAGUUACCUACAACAGGUCGGUACAAUCUUCUUCUGUGCCUGCAAGGAGUAUCGACACAAACCUCGAACGUGCUGCAAUUAUAAAGACAUUUCGUAGGUAUGGGUGGUGUUUGUUUUGUGUUGAUUUGUACACACAUAGUUGCUAAAGCAGAUUUUAUUUGAAGGCACAUUACAUUGAGAGGUAUGAACAUGGAUCAGAAUACUGCCAUCCAGCGUUUCUCUGACGUGACGUGAUUGAACCUGCAUCUAUCAUGAGGUGAAUUCACGUCUAGCUCUAAUAACGGAUACAAGGAUUUGCUGUCUUCCAUCUCCACAGGUCUAAGCUGUAGAGUGGAUG